AUGGGGCGGCUCGCGGGCCUGCGCUGGCUCCUCGUCCUCGCGUGGGCGGCGGCGGGGGCGCUGGCCGCGGAGGAGGAUGGCAAGGCGGCCGUCGUGGCGCCGGGGCCGCGCCGGCACGCGUACGCGGCGAUGAUGUACAUGGGCACGCCCCGCGACUACGAGUUCUACGUGGCCACGCGCGUCAUGAUGCGCUCGCUGCGCGGCUUCGGCGCCGACGCCGACCGCGUGGUGAUCGCCUCGCUCGACGUCCCGCCGAGCUGGGUCCAGGCGCUGAAAGAUGAUGGUGUGAAGGUGGUCUCUGUGGAUAAUUUGAAGAACCCAUACGAAAAACAAGAUAACUUCAACUCACGAUUCAAGUUGACCUUAAAUAAGCUGUAUGCUUGGAGCUUAGUUUCCUAUGACCGAGUUGUUAUGCUAGACUCUGACAACAUGUUUCUCCAGAACACUGAUGAAUUAUUUCAGUGUGGCCACUUCUGUGCAGUCUUCAUCAACCCUUGCAUCUUUCAUACAGGCCUCUUUGUACUGAAGCCUUCUAUGGAUGUUUUUAAGAACAUGCUACAUGAGCUAGCUGUUGGGCGUGAAAACCCAGAUGGUGCAGAUCAGGGCUUCCUUGCUAGCUAUUUCCCAGACUUGCUUGAUCAGCCAAUGUUCCAUCCACCAGUUAAUGGCACCAAGCUUGAUGGAAAUUACCGCCUUCCUCUAGGCUAUCAGAUGGAUGCAUCUUAUUAUUAUUUGAAGCUCCGCUGGAGUAUCCCGUGUGGACCUAAUAGUGUGGUUACAUUUCCAAGUGCUCCAUGGAUGAAGCCAUGGUACUGGUGGUCUUGGCCAGUUUUACCUCUGGGACUUUCUUGGCAUGAACAACGUCGUGAAAACCUAGGGUAUUCAUCAGAGAUACCGAUGGCAUUAUUCCAGGCUCUACUGUACAUUGGAGUCAUCGCGGUGAACCGGCUAGCACGGCCCAGUUUGUCGAAGCUCUGCUACAACAGAAGAAUGGAGAAAAGCACCAUGUUCUUACUCACCACGCUCAGAGUAGUGGCAGCAUGGUCCAUACUUGCAGCCUACACCAUUCCCUUCUUCCUCGUCCCACGGACCGUCCAUCCGCUGCUAGGCUGGCCACUAUACCUGCUCGGCUCUUUCUCCCUCUCUUUGAUCGUCAUCAACUUCUUCCUCCUCCACCCCCUUGCCGUCCUCACGACAUGGUUCGGGAUCAUCGGCACGCUCUUUGUGAUGGCAUGCCCAUGGUACACGAACGGCGUCGUCAGGGCGUUGGCGGUGUUCGCGUACGCGUUCUUCUGCGCGCCGGUGGUCUGGGCGUCCUUGGUCAAGAUAAUGAGCUCCUUGCAGGUCCUGAUCGAGAGGGACGCCUUCAGGCUGGGGGAGCCUAACCAGACGGCCGAGUUCACCAAGCUUUACUGA
rnacentral:rRNA from 1 species